rnacentral:lncRNA from 1 species
GUGAGUGACCCACAGGCAGCACAGUGAGAGUGGACAACCAUGUAGUAGCUAUGCUGGGUACCCUAUGCCCCUUCAGUCUCCUUUUCUCAUUGAGACCUCCAGUUUUGACUAUAUGACAUUCUACUACCCAUUGCCAUUGCAGUGAAAGGUUCAUGGUCACAGUGGAGUACCUGGGGUCUGUGCACACCACCAUGUGGACCCAACCCCACCCGUGUCCGUCAGCGACUCUGCACACCUUUGCUCCCCAAGUACUCGCCUACAGUUUCCAUGGUUGAAGGUCAGGGUGAGAAGAAUGUUACCUUCUGGGGGAUCCCACGGCCACUGUGUGAGGUGCUACAGGGGCAGAAGCUGGUGGUGGAAGAGAAACGGCCAUGUCUACAUGUGCCUUCCUGCAGAGAUCCAGAAGAGAAGAAACCCUAAAAUCCCUUGCCUCCAUUCUGACCCCCUGACCUUCUAAACCUCAAUAAACCAGCCUUUCUAGA